UACGUAGGGGGCAAGCGUUGUCCGGAUUUAUUGGGCGUAAAGAGCGUGUAGGCGGCCAGGUAGGUCAGCUGUGAAAACUCGAGGCUUAACCUCGAGACGCCGGCUGAAACCCUCUGGCUAGAGUCCGGAAGAGGAGAGCGGAAUUCCUGGUGUAGAGGUGAAAUUCGUAGAUAUCGGGAGGAACACCGGUGGCGAAGGCGGCGACCUGGGUAGAUACUGACGCUGAGGUGCGAAAGCGUGGGGAGCAAACAGG
rnacentral:rRNA from 1 species